rnacentral:snRNA from 1 species
GGCUUUGCACAGUGGCGGUAUCGUAGCCAAUGAGGUUUAUCCGAGGCGCAAUUAUUGCUAAUUGAAAACUAAUCUAUUCCAUGUAGAAUUCCUCCUACUGUUACUGACA